AAUGCGCAGAUUUCAGGAUGAACACCAGUGGCGAAGUCGGUUCUCUGGGCCCUUCCUGACGCUGAGGAGCGAAAGCGUGGGGAGCGAACAGGCUUAGAUACCCUGGUAGUCCACGCUGUAAACGGUGGGUACUAGGUGUGGGGUCCAUUCCACGGGUUCCGUGCCGUAGCUAACGCUUUAAGUACCCCGCCUGGGGAGUACGGCCGCAAGGCUAAAACUCAAAGGAAUUGACGGGGCCCCGCACAAGCGGCGGAGCAUGCGGAUUAAUUCGAUGCAACGCGUAGAACCUUACCUGGGUUUGACAUGGAUCGGGAGUGCUCAGAGAUGGGUGUGCCUCUUUUGGGGUCGGUUCACAGGUGGUGCAUGGCUGUCGUCAGCUCGUGUCGUGAGAUGUUAGGUUAAGUCCCGCAACGAGCGCAACCCUUGUUCACUGUUGCCAGCACGUUAUGGUGGGGACUCAGUGGAGACCGCCGGGGUCAACUCGGAGGAAGGUGGGGAUGACGUCAAGUCAUCAUGCCCCUUAUGUCCAGGGCUUCACGCAUGCUACAAUGGCUGGUACAGAGAGUGGCGAGCCUGUGAGGGUGAGCGAAUCUCGGAAAGCCGGUCUCAGUUCGGAUUGGGGUCUGCAACUCGACCUCAUGAAGUCGGAGUCGCUAGUAAUCGCAGAUCAGCAACGCUGCGGUGAAUAUUUUGGGGGGGGCUUGUACACACCGCCCGU
rnacentral:rRNA from 1 species